AUGGCUGCAAGAAGAAGUGUAGCUGCUCUCCAGAAGUGUCUUGUGACCACGUCACCGGAGAGUGCCGGAAAGAGUGUCCCCAAGGCUACCACGGGGCGAACUGCGACCAAGAGUGCCCGGAGGGGACGUUCGGGGCGGGCUGCCGGCAGCCCUGCUCCUGCGGCGGAGCGCCCUGCGACCGGAGCACGGGGCAGUGCCUCUGCCUGCCAGGCUGGAUGGGACACGACUGCGGCCAAGCUUGCCCCGAGGGCCACUGGGGACAGGGCUGCCAGGAGAUAUGUCCCGAGUGUGCCAACAACGCCAGCUGCGACCCUGCCACGGGAGCCUGCCUCUGCCCGCCCGGCUACACCGGCCGCCGCUGCCAGGACGCGUGUCCGCCCGGCUGGUUUGGCCCAGACUGCCGGCAGAGCUGCAGCUGCGGGAACGACGGCCACUGCCAUCCUGCCACGGGGACGUGCCGCUGCGCGCCGGGCUGGACGGGGCCUCGCUGCCAGAGAGCCUGCGAUGCCGGGCGCUGGGGCCCCGACUGCGCUCACACCUGCAACUGCAGCAACAGCGACGGGAGCUGCAGCGCUGAGACGGGGCAGUGCCUCUGCGAAGCUGGAUACACGGGCGGCCGCUGCGAGAGGAAGUGCCCGGAAGGAUGGUUUGGGCUGGGCUGUCAGCACCAGUGUCAGUGUGACAAUGGGGCCGCCUGUGACCACGUCAGCGGGGCCUGUACUUGCAGCCCGGGCUGGCGAGGAACCUUCUGUGAGCACGCUUGUCCUGAUGGAUUUUAUGGACUGGAGUGCCG
rnacentral:lncRNA from 1 species